UACGGGGGGGGCAAGCGUUGUUCGGAAUUACUGGGCGUAAAGGGCUCGUAGGUGGCCAACUAAGUCAGACGUGAAAUCCCUCGGCUUAACCGGGGAACUGCGUCUGAUACUGGAUGGCUAGAGUUUGGGAGAGGGAUGCGGAAUUCCAGGUGUAGCGGUGAAAUGCGUAGAUAUCUGGAGGAACACCGGUGGCGAAGGCGGCAUCCUGGACCGAUACUGACGCUGAUGAGCGAAAGCCAGGGGAGCAAACGGG
rnacentral:rRNA from 1 species